rnacentral:tmRNA from 1 species
GGGGAUGUAAUGGUUUCGACGGGGAUGUUGAAACAGAAUAAGCGGGUGGAGUUUGAGGGAACUCCUAAAUAAGCCUCAACUUAAAAAUAAACGCUAACAAUAAUCUUGUUGCACAGGCUGCCUAAGUGCAGCUGAUGCCGCCAUAUUGCGGCCCGUCUUCGGUGUGAGUGCCACGGCUCACCGCAGGCGUCAAAUCAGUGGCGUACGUGCACAGUCCUUUAGCCUUUGAGACUGUCAUGAACUAAAAGGCUGCCCUUGUACGCCUUCUGUCUGUCGGGACGUACAGGGGGAGAUCUAAAGACAGACUGCACCCGGAGAAAGUUUUGCGGAUAUAUUUUCGGACAGGGGUUCGACUCCCCUCAUCUCCACCA